AAAUCUCAACCUCCUUGGUUUCUUCUGGAGACCAAAGGAGGCUUGGACUUUGGAGGCCUUUGCUGGCAUCUCUCUAUUUUGAAGGCCAGCUCCUCUUGAAUGAAUUAGCGGGGUCCUCUUUGCCGAUCCUCGACAUGUGAUAAGAUGUUUCCGUGUCUUGGUUUCCGGCUCUGUUGCUUUUGGGCCCCGCUUCUAAUCGUCUCACCCCGAGACAAUGUUCGAGCCUGUCUCCCUUCUCGGGAAACCCUCUUGACCCCACGAAC
rnacentral:misc_RNA from 1 species